CUCUAACUGUUUAUACAAUAAUUGAUGUUUUUUAGUUUGAAAAACAAACUGUUGUCGUCAACAAAUUGAUGCCGAUAAAUUCUACCGAUUUUUCAAACUCAAGGGUUAAAGUCACCUUCAGAAGGAAAUAUGCACGAAUAAACAAUACCAUAUGGCGAUUGUACAGGUGUAAUUGUACGGAAAACCUGUGCGGAAGUUAAAUGCGCCCAUGCUUAUCUCCUUGAGGAAGACGAGAAAUACUGUUUCGUAAUGCUGAGAGCAACGUUUGCUGAGAGAGCGAUAAGAGAAAUCUAUCGGAGGGCCACUUGGAGAGUUCUCGCGAACUUUAAAUGAAGAAGAAGAGGAGGGUCAUGUUAUUGUCGAGGCGUUGAAGAAACCGUUGCUGUUGCGAGGCAGAACCUCAGCGCCACCCUGGGAGACUGAAGAAGAGAGUGAACAUUCACGUCAGUUUAUAAGUUGCCAUACGUGUCCUGAGAGCUUGAGAGUUGCGGUGUUAGAGAUUUAAAGGGAGAGAAAGGGAAGAGAAUGAGAAGAAGAUAAAAAUGAUGAUGGUGAGGAGGAGUAGGAGGAGAAAGAGGCACAGAGGAAGUUACGCAAUUUCUAACCGUCCCCGGACCACCACAUUAUUUAAAUUGAUGAAUUUUUUUUCUUUAACACCAUUUUAUGAAUGAUAUAGCUUUUUUCUUCUUUGACAUCAUUAUAUGACAUGAUUCCAUAAUUGUAACAAU